AGAGAGGGAAAAGUAUAGUUAUUUAGCUCUCACGUGUUGUGAGGUGCGUUUUUCUAAUAUGAAUUCUACUGUAAAUAUAAUGGUUCGACAACGCUUAAUGGUGAAAACUGUCUUGUAAACAGUACGACACUAGUAGUAUAGAAUGAGAACAAUACUGUUAGCGGUGUAGUGAGUAAAAAACGACAGGCAUGUGUGAGUGCCUGAAGACUUCAUUCGACGGUAAGAUGGAUUCUUGUGGAACAACAUGGCGAAGAGCACGGUAACCUGUCGUGGACUGUGAUGCAGGGUUUUGUCCUGUCUUCUUCCACUUGGAAAGACAGACACCACCCAGGAUGCAGCAAACAGCAAUCAAACAUACAGCAGUAAUAAUAAGUGGUUGAUGUUCGUUUGAGAAGUGAUUCAUCGAUGAAGUCAGCGCCUGGGUCUCAUGUCUGGGCACAUUGACUGCAGCGGUUACACAACCUGUUGAAAGAACAGAUAUUAAGGAUCCAAAAAUAAACCAAUAUCUUCAGAUACAAGUAAUUUCAUGCUUGAAAUAUAAGAGUUUGAUAUUCAAAACAUAUUUGUAAUGAUGUCCAUUGUAUAUUCAUUCUGCCAGUUCACCGAAAAUGUUCAAUAUUUUUAUAUAAUUUCAUGUUAUCAUUAUGUUUUCAAAUUACAUCCAAACCUGAAAUGGUGGAAGAAGGUAAAGAUCUAUACAUAACCUCUGGAACAAAUAUUAAAAAAAAAAAGGUAAAGGUAUACACUACCGCUCAAAAGUUUGGGAUCACUGUGAAAUUUUCUUGUUUUCAAUGAAAACACACAUGAGAUUAGGAAAUAUAGCUAAUAAACAGGACAUGCAGACAUUGUCUGAGUAAAAAAAAAAUUAUUUUGAUGGAAAUGAUGACUGUGUACUUCAAAUUUAGCCUUUAUCAACAAAAGCCACCUUUUGCAGCAAUUACAGCCUGGCAGACCUUAGGCAUUCUAGCUGUCAAUUUUCGAGGUAAUCUGAUGUGAUUUCACCCCAUACUUCCUGGUGCAUCUCCCAUGACAUGGAUUGGCUUGAUGCAGUCUUCCUCCGUACCAUACAGUCCAGCUACUCCCACAACAGCUCAAUAGGGUUCAGAUCCGGAGACUGUGCUGGCCACUCCAUUACAGUCAAAAUUCUGGCUGACUUCUUAUUUCUUAAAUAUUGCUGACACAUUUUGGAGGUGUGUUUGGGGUAAUUAUCCUGUUGUAGGAUGAAAUUGGCCCCAAUCAAGUGCUGUCCACAGGGUAUGGCAUGGCGUUGCAAUGUCUUGUGGUAGCCUUCCUUCUUCAAAAUCCCAUUCACUCUAUAUAAAUCUCCUAUUUUACCACCUUCAAAGCAUCCCCAGACCAUCAUGCUGCCUCCACCAUGCUUGACAGCUGGCAUUAAGCAUUGGUCUUGCAUCUUUUCAUUGUUCCUGUGCCUCACAAAUGUUAUUCUGUUUGAUCCAAAGACCUCAAACUUGGACUCAUCUGCAAUAUCUCGCAUUGAGUAGCCUUCCAUUCUUAACACAACAAUAGACUGACGAGUCUCUAAAGAAAAUUGUUUCUUUCUGGCCAUUUUGAGCCAGUAAGCAAGCCAACAACUGCUGAUGCUUCAGAUACUAAACUAACCUAGAAUGUUGUGCUCCCUUUUAUGCUCCCUUAUUAGUAUAACGUUUUUCAGCUGUGCAACAAAAUUAAAAAAGGGUUUCCUAACAAUCAAUUAGCCUAAUAACAUUCUUAACUUGGAUUGGCAGCCAAACCAGGAGAUUGAGGCAGAGGACUAAGUGGCUGAUAAUAGGACUAUAUGCAAAAUAGGCCUCUAUACAAAAAUAGGCUUUAAUGCAAACAUUUUCAUUCUUCAAAAAUCAUCUGAUACAUUUAAAAUAAUUGUGUAAUGGACUAAAUUGUUUGUGAAUUGCAUGAAAAUGUGUUUUUCUUUGGAAAAGAGGGAAAUUUGCAAGUGAUCCCAAACUUUUGAGCGGUAGUGUAUAUAUUUUUUCUCUUUUAAAAAAAUGUAACAAUUAUCCAGCAACUCUAAAUUCUAUUCGACUGUAGGAUGGAAAACCUUGUAGAACAGGGUUUCCAGUACAAAAAAAUGAUUGGGCUUUCUUUGUACACAAUACAGUGGAACCUUGACUUACGAGUGACCCAACUUACGAAUUUUCCGAGAUACGAGCUGUCACUUGGUCGAUUUUUUGCUUUGUGAUACGAGCCGAGAUCUGAGUUACGAGCUCAGCUGAGUUCAGUUCACCUGGUUAUCUUGCCGUACAAGCAAGUGAAAGCGAGGAAAAUGUGAUAAAGUCAGUGAAGAAUAAGAUUAAGUAAAGUAAAAAAAUAUAUAUUUUUUUAAAAAGUCGCAAUUAAUUUUAGUGAUAAAGUGUAGCAUAGUGUGUACGUUAAAUUUAGCAAUAUAUUGUAGCAUUAAGUGUGUAGCGAGUAAGUUAAGUGAUAGAGCAAGAAAUGAAACACUCCCCCAACUUCCUCCGCCAAUCUCCACCUCCGGCAGCAUCUUCGUCUGAUUUAUAAGGUAAAUACAUUUAAUAAAACCAGUUUAUUUCUUUACAUUCUCUUUUAUUAUGUAUUAUUUUUUUAUAUAUUAUUUGUUAUUUAUAAAGUACAUUUUUCUUAUUUAAAAACAUGUAACAAAAAAAUCGGUGUGGUUUUUGGGGGGCUGGAACGGAUUAAUAGCGUUUCAAUUCAUUUUAAUGGGAAAAUUUGAUUUGAUAUACGAGCAAAUUGAGUUACGAGCUUGGUCACAGAACGAAUUAAACUCGUAAGUCAAGGUUCCACUGUACUACUAAUUGAGUUUUUGUCCUGAAUAAUAAAUAACGAUAACAAUAAAAUUUGCACUAACUUUUAA